rnacentral:rRNA from 1 species
UAUGAGAGUUUGAUCCUGGCUCAGGACGAACGCUGGCGGCGUGCCUAAUACAUGCAAGUCGUACGCUUCUUUUUCCACCGGAGCUUGCUCCACCGGAAAAAGAAGAGUGGCGAACGGGUGAGUAACACGUGGGUAACCUGCCCAUCAGAAGGGGAUAACACUUGGAAACAGGUGCUAAUACCGUAUAACAAUCGAAACCGCAUGGUUUUGAUUUGAAAGGCGCUUUCGGGUGUCGCUGAUGGAUGGACCCGCGGUGCAUUAGCUAGUUGGUGAGGUAACGGCUCACCAAGGCCACGAUGCAUAGCCGACCUGAGAGGGUGAUCGGCCACAUUGGGACUGAGACACGGCCCAAACUCCUACGGGAGGCAGCAGUAGGGAAUCUUCGGCAAUGGACGAAAGUCUGACCGAGCAACGCCGCGUGAGUGAAGAAGGUUUUCGGAUCGUAAAACUCUGUUGUUAGAGAAGAACAAGGAUGAGAGUAACUGUUCAUCCCUUGACGGUAUCUAACCAGAAAGCCACGGCUAACUACGUGCCAGCAGCCGCGGUAAUACGUAGGUGGCAAGCGUUGUCCGGAUUUAUUGGGCGUAAAGCGAGCGCAGGCGGUUUCUUAAGUCUGAUGUGAAAUCCCCCGGCUCAACCGGGGAGGGUCAUUGGAAACUGGGAGACUUGAGUGCAGAAGAGGAGAGUGGAAUUCCAUGUGUAGCGGUGAAAUGCGUAGAUAUAUGGAGGAACACCAGUGGCGAAGGCGGCUCUCUGGUCUGUAACUGACGCUGAGGCUCGAAAGCGUGGGGAGCAAACAGGAUUAGAUACCCUGGUAGUCCACGCCGUAAACGAUGAGUGCUAAGUGUUGGAGGGUUUCCGCCCUUCAGUGCUGCAGCUAACGCAUUAAGCACUCCGCCUGGGGAGUACGACCGCAAGGUUGAAACUCAAAGGAAUUGACGGGGGCCCGCACAAGCGGUGGAGCAUGUGGUUUAAUUCGAAGCAACGCGAAGAACCUUACCAGGUCUUGACAUCCUUUGACCACUCUAGAGAUAGAGCUUCCCCUUCGGGGGCAAAGUGACAGGUGGUGCAUGGUUGUCGUCAGCUCGUGUCGUGAGAUGUUGGGUUAAGUCCCGCAACGAGCGCAACCCUUAUUGUUAGUUGCCAUCAUUCAGUUGGGCACUCUAGCAAGACUGCCGGUGACAAACCGGAGGAAGGUGGGGAUGACGUCAAAUCAUCAUGCCCCUUAUGACCUGGGCUACACACGUGCUACAAUGGGAAGUACAACGAGUCGCGAAGUCGCGAGGCUAAGCUAAUCUCUUAAAGCUUCUCUCAGUUCGGAUUGUAGGCUGCAACUCGCCUACAUGAAGCCGGAAUCGCUAGUAAUCGCGGAUCAGCACGCCGCGGUGAAUACGUUCCCGGGCCUUGUACACACCGCCCGUCACACCACGAGAGUUUGUAACACCCGAAGUCGGUGAGGUAACCUUUUGGAGCCAGCCGCCUAAGGUGGGAUAGAUGAUUGGGGUGAAGUCGUAACAAGGUAGCCGUAUCGGAAGGUGCGGCUGGAUCACCUCCUUUCUAAGGAA